ensembl:lncRNA
GUUUCAUUCGCCAAUUCAAGUAAAAAAAAAAUAUAUAUAGAUAGAUAGAUAGACAGACAGAUAGAUAGAUAGAUAAACCACUCAUUCAUUCAUUCUGUAGUAGCAGUCCAUAGAACAGAAUUCAGCAAACUCUUUGUCUGAAUAGAAAGCUGUGAAGACCCCCUUCUUUCCAUGGCUACAGUAUCCAGUGCCAUCACACCUGCUGAGCUCAAACUCACUCUGUAGGUCUUCCUCACAUCUGGACUGACAGACUUCCAGUCAAUGAUACCUACACAAGAAAAAAAACAAAUGUUGAGAGAUUCAAACAAAAAGUAACCAAUAAGUAGAACUAAAUAUUAAAUAAAAAAGACUGCAAGUCUUGUCACUAGCAGAAGCGCAAGUGUCUGAGAGUGCAAGUGCAAGUCUGCAGCCAGACCCUUCUCCAUUUUAUUAUAAUACAACACAAAAGUACAUAUGAUUCCUGUGCAUGUUUUCUAAAAGAAUGGAAUCACAAAAAAGGUGACUGGCACUCAUCUAUACCAUAGGUUAUACUAAUUUUUGGUUCAACAUGUUGGAUUAACUUCAAAAGAGUGAAUGUCCUUCGAGUGCACUUUGUGUAAUGACACAGUUUAGGGAUGAGGAUCUAAUUCAAAAGACUAAUCAUUCAGAGUAAAGUUACUGGCAGUGCUUGUCUCCAUCUUCCACAAUGUUGACAAUGUGCCUCUGAAGGAAAGUCAGUGUCUUUCUCAGGUGUGUUGGAUAUGCAAUGUUGAAAGCAAAAUACAUACAGAAGGCUGUUAUGAAGGCUUCAUCAAGGCUGGUGCACUGGCACACGUCUAUUCCAUCUUCUGUCACCACACUGAGCCCUCCUCCUAUGAUUACCAUUUUCCAGUCAGUAUCCAUCAGCUGUAUGGUAGGAAAGGGUGUAGCAGGGUCCCCCUACAUUAAAAAAAAUAAAAAAAAAAUAAUAAUAAUACAAAAUAAAUAAACGCUUUUCAAAUUCAUCAAAUUCUGUUCCAUCCUCUUUGGCUCAGACAGUGUAGCUACAUACAGUGCAGAACUGCAAAAACUAUUAGAAGCUAAUGUAUAGGGGUCACAAUAUACGAUGCAUUUCAUGUUCUUGUUUACACUGAUAAAUCUUACAUUGUUUUCUAAAACUAUUGUUUUA